rnacentral:rRNA from 1 species
AGCGAACGUUUGCGGCGGGCCUAACACAUGCAAGUCGAACGAGAAUCUCUUCGGAGAGGAAAGUGGCGCACGGGUGCGUAACACGUGGAUAACCAACCCCNGCUGUCGGGAUAACGCUGGGAAACUGGCGCUAAUACCGGGUGUGUCCGAGGUGUCAUCAGGCGCUUCGGAGAAAGACACGCAAGGGUCGCCAGGGGACGGGUCCGCGUCCCAUCAGCUAGUUGGUGAGGUAAUGGCUCACCAAGGCAAAGACGGGUAGCUGGUCUGAGAGGAUGAUCAGCCACACUGGAACCUGAGACACGGUCCAGACUCCUACGGGAGGCAGCAGUGGGGAAUAUUGCGCAAUGGGCGGAAGCCUGACGCAGCCACGCCGCGUGAGCGAUGAAGGUCUUAGGAUCGUAAAGCUCUGUGGAGGGAGAAGAAGAAAGCCGGUGAAGAGCCGGCCUUGACGGUAUCCCUUUAGCAAGCACCGGCUAACUCCGUGCCAGCAGCCGCGGUAAUACGGAGGGUGCAAACGUUGCUCGGAAUCAUUGGGCGUAAAGCGCGCGUAGGCGAGC